rfam:Triticum aestivum genome assembly, contig: Triticum_aestivum_CS42_TGACv1_scaffold_472331_6AL
AUGCCUUCUCGGCCUUUGGACUAAGUUCAAAUGUAAUAUAUGUUUUUACUAGUUUAAUAUAUGGUACAUGGGUUAUGUGCCCACAAUUACAUGAAAUUUAUUUUUUGUGGGAGGGUUCAUCGGAUUGGCUUGCCAUUUGGUCUCUCACGUGUCACCCAGAUGUUGCACUACUGUCCGGCUUGGCACAUCCCAA